rnacentral:rRNA from 1 species
UACGGGGGGGGCAAGCGUUGUUCGGAAUUACUGGGCGUAAAGGGCUCGUAGGCGGCCAACUAAGUCGGACGUGAAAUCCCUCGGCUUAACCGGGGAACUGCGUCCGAUACUGGAUGGCUCGAGUUUGGGAGAGGGAUGCGGAAUUCCAGGUGUAGCGGUGAAAUGCGCAGAUAUCAGGAGGAACACCGGUGGCGAAGGCGGGUCUCUGGGCAGUAACUGACGCUGAGGAGCGAAAGCGUGGGGAGCGAACAGG